GACGAACGCUGGCGGCGUGCCUAAUACAUGCCAGUUGAGCGCUGAAGGUUGGUACUUGUACCGACUGGAUGAGCAGCGAACGGGUGAGUAACGCGUGGGGAAUCUGCCUUUGAGCGGGGGACAACAUUUGGAAACGAAUGCUAAUACCGCAUAAAAACUUUAAACACAAGUUUUAAGUUUGAAAGAUGCAAUUGCAUCACUCAAAGAUGAUCCCGCGUUGUAUUAGCUAGUUGGUGAGGUAAAGGCUCACCAAGGCGAUGAUACAUAGCCGACCCGAGAGGGUGAUCGGCCACAUUGGGACUGAGACACGGCCCAAACUCCUACGGGAGGCAGCAGUAGGGAAUCUUCGGCAAUGGACGAAAGUCUGACCGAGCAACGCCGCGUGAGUGAAGAAGGUUUUCGGAUCGUAAAACUCUGUUGGUAGAGAAGAACGUUGGUGAGAGUGGAAAGCUCAUCAAGUGACGGUAACUACCCAGAAAGGGACGGCUAACUACGUG
rnacentral:rRNA from 1 species